CCUACGGGUGGCAGCAGCGAGGAAUCUUCUACAAUGGGCGCAAGCCCGAUAGAGCAACGCCGCGUGGAGGACGACGGCCUUCGGGUUGUAAACUCCUUUCGGGGGGGAAGACAGGGACGGUACCCCCAGAAGCAGCCCCGGCUAACUCUGUGCCAGCAGCCGCGGUAAGACAGAGGGGGCAAGCGUUGUCCGGAUUUACUGGGCGUACAGCGCGCGCAGGUGGCCGGCUAUGUGCCGUGUGACAUGUGGGAGCUUAACUCCCAAGGGCCACGGUAGACAGGCCGGCUGGAGGCAGGGAGAGGGUCGUGGAAUACCCGGUGGAGCGGUGAAAUGCGUAGAGAUCGGGUGGAACACCAGCGGCGAAGGCGGCGACCUGGCCCUGACCUGACACUGAGGCGCGAGAGCGUGGGGAGCGAACAGGAUUAGAUACCCCUGUAGUC
rnacentral:rRNA from 1 species